AGCUGAAUAGCUCAGUUGGCUAGAGUGUGGUGCUGAUAACGCCAAGGCUGCAGGUUCGAUCCCCGAGAAGGAAAGCUA